GACGAACGCUGGCGGCAUGCCUAACACAUGCAAGUCGAACGAGAUCUUCGGGUCUAGUGGCGCACGGGUGCGUAACGCGUGGGAAUCUGCCCUUUGGUUCGGAAUAACAGUUGGAAACGACUGCUCAUACCGGAUGAUGACGAAAGUCCAAAGAUUUAUCGCCAGAGGAUGAGCCCGCGUAGGAUUAGCUAGUUGGUGUGGUAAAGGCGCACCAAGGCGACGAUCCUUAGCUGGUCUGAGAGGAUGAUCAGCCACACUGGGACUGAGACACGGCCCAGACUCCUACGGGAGGCAGCAGUGGGGAAUAUUGGACAAUGGGCGAAAGCCUGAUCCAGCAAUGCCGCGUGAGUGAUGAAGGCCUUAGGGUUGUAAAGCUCUUUUACCCGGGAUGAUAAUGACAGUACCGGGAGAAUAAGCUCCGGCUAACUCCGUGCCAGCCGCCGCAAUAACAC
rnacentral:rRNA from 1 species